rnacentral:lncRNA from 1 species
UAAAGGUUCAAUUCUGCUGUAGCUGCCACUGACUGCUCAUCAAUGUGAGAAGCUUUCCAGAUCAGUUAAAAUCAGGUAUUCCCCAAACGCCUUCCUUUCCCCCUCGGAGUGUAUGAGGAAUAAAACAGAUUCCAACGAUCUUACCCCAGCUAACUCUCCCCAUUACAUUGGACCAACUUUGCUUUCCCAUUCUGCCUCUCAAGGCUCAUCUGAGCAUUUCAUAUACUUUAAUUGGCCCUUAGUUGAAAAGCUUUUGAUGGAUUCACAGUGCAGAAUCUGGUGGGGCACUAUCCUUGAUGUUUUCCACAGUGUCCUAGGUAAAUCUAAAAGUGAAAACUCCUGAGAACCCAGGGAAUUGUCUUUAAGAAUAGAAUGAGUUCACUUUAAUAAUCAAAUUUCUUUUCUAUUUUGAUCCUCAUAAUUGUGAAAGUCAUAUUGAGAGCUGCACUGUCUGGCUCCCUCCAUUUUGUGCAAUUAUUAAAUGUUUAUUAUAAUUUCCACAGUCUUAUCUCCCACGUAUCUAGCUAUUUUAUGCAUUUAAGAAUAGCCUCACUAAUUUCUUUCCUAAGAAUGGCUGAUAUCCCUCAUGGACUAAUGGCCAUAUGUGAAAAUCAAAUGCCCAUCAAAACUAGCAUUCUUUAAGCUUUCUGAUCUCUAUGCCUUCCUUUCUGACUUAUUGUUAAAAUCGGCAAUGUCCUUAUCUCACUUUAAUCUCAUCAAUGAAAACAUUUUGCUCUCUGUAUUCCAGUUAUCAAGAUUCUAUGCUUCUUUCAAUAGUGUCCUCAAAUAGUGACAUCGUCAUCAUUUAUUCACUUUACAUCCCAAUCACAGCCCCCUCCCUCCUCCUGUCCCAGGGCCACCCUUACAAAUCCUUCCCACCAUUGCCCCUCCCCUUCCUCAGAGAAGGGGAGUACUUUCUCCACAGCAUUUUCCUAACCCACCUUAUGUUGAUGCAACUUGUAGAAGAUUCACCUUGAAGCCACAGGAAACAUCGAUGAGAUGGGCUGACAGUUGCUACACUAACUGCUACUGUGACUUAGGCACCAUCUUCAUUGUGGCAACUUGUAGAGAAAUUAAGAUCCUCUCUCUCUCUCUCUCUCUCUCUCUCUCUCUCUCUCUCUCUCUCUCUCUCUCUCUCUCCCUACUUCUCAUGAGGAGACUUUUGCCUGAAGUUCUCCCUCCCACUAUUACUGGCCAGAGGUGGUUGCAUAACUGCUCACAAAUUACGCAUAUGAGAAAAUAACAACAUUCCCAAUAUUGAUUAAGAUAAUCAGCUUAAACUCCCCAAAGCUGGACCUGACAUUGUUCCCAUGAAGCCUAUUAUCAUGUGGUGAAUGGUGGGAUCUAAAAUAAAGUCUGAGGUCUCUUAGAACGGGAAAUAGAGAGGAAUUUUAGUUUGACUAAUCAAUGUUUAUUCUAAUUAUUAUCUCUCUCCCAUACCGCCUAUAGUGUUUUGGAAAUAUUUCCAGUUGAGCAGCAUUCUUGUGGUAUUAUGUUUCUACAUAUUUACCUCUCGCCUAUCUCCCUCUAGCUUCAAGAUGACCAAAUGGCCCACUCAAUAGCUAUAAGGACGAGAGCUAUACUGGACACAUCAGACAAAAAAAUAUCUUUAGUUACGUUCCUUGUUUCCCCCUGGAUAGUGUGGAUAUAAAAACUGUGUCUCGAGCUUGUUUCCAUAGCAGAUACUACUGUGAAGCUUCACACUCGCCUUGUGUCCUUGGCCCCUGUUAAUUCUGCGCACUGGCCCACACCUGUGAAGAUGAUGCGAGCCAAGGCCCUGUAAGUCCUCCGAGUACGGAUGAAUCCUCCAUUCAUUCUGCUUUCCACUCGGAGAAUGACGGACAGAGGUGAGCUCAAACGGAGUCUCGAAGGACAAAGCUUUUCUCUGUGAAAAGGGCAUGAACACAAUCAGAGGACAAGUAGACGGGUGUUUCCAGGAGCCAAUGAAAUAUUUUAUUUAUUUCAAUGGGAAAUCAAGCCAGCUGGCUCUUACAUGAAGCUAUCCCCUGGAAUUCACAAAUGCCACUUUCUUCUCCAUCGUGGAAGAAAAGAUACGUUGUAGUUUGGAACAAAGGUGACCCAAUAUUAUCUGGAUCGUGACAAGCCAUGAGGAAAGGGUGGCCAAAAACAAGAGCCCACCAUCUUGGUUGAGAAGGUUGAUGCGAAGCCAAACCCACUGGCUAGAGGGCGGAGACACUCCAGAUGAAGUGAUACCAGCAAGUGAUAGGAGGCACACUGAAGGGGGAAAACCUCCCCCAAACAGGCAUGGCUCAAUGUCCAUGUGCCUGACCAUGGGAAGACAGAGGUGAGUCCUCACUGACUGUGCAGUCCCACCGUAGAAAAUUUAACUGAUAGGGCUUUAAAAGAUAUUUCAUUUCCACCUUUUCCCAAGGCCAGCACAAUUAUGAGCAUAUAAGAGCAUUUUCAUGAAAGACCACAAGUGCAGAAUAACUCCACAGGAAUGUAGCAGUGCAAACAAUUACAGAUGGGCUAGCAUUUUCACUGCAACCUUUGUUUUUAUGGACAAAUACUUUUGUGUUACAACCACCUACACCAAUCAAGAGGAGAGCAUAUUGUGCAGCCCUUUAGUGAGGAGUAACAUUGAGCCUGUAUACCAUGUAGCCUGUAUGAAGAGGACUACAUCUGCAUAAGUAGACUGUGAUAUUCAUUCAUUCAUUCAUUCAUUCAUUCAUGCUGAAAUUACUUAGUAAGUAACAGAAUUCUCAGAACACACCCUACGGUUAAACCACACAGCUCGCUAGAGCUUAAGCCUCUUUCGUUCUUCUUCUUUUCCCCUUGCUUUCACGCCCUGGUUUCUAAUCUUCAUUUUUCAGCAUAGAGCAGAAGCACACAUACUCUGCAAGUAAAUGAUACUGGCAUUCUACUUUUCAUGUGCUAAGCAUAAUCCAAAAAUAUGUGUCAUAUUUAGAAAACCGAGGUUUAGAAUGAUUAAUCUUCUUGCCUAGCUCACAAAGGUCACAUGUUUCCGAACUACCAUUCAAAAGCAGACAGUCUGGCUCCAGAGUCUGUGAUCUUAAUAUCAUCACUUUGUUACAUUAAAUAU